rnacentral:lncRNA from 1 species
UAAUGUAGUUUCUCAUUCUUACAGUAUUUGAACAUCUUCUGUCUGGUUUCCUCAUAGGCUUUUUUUAUUUUUUUCCUGCCAGGAAGGUGAGAGCAAGAGAAGAAUAAGAGGACCUUUACCCUAGAAAGCGCAAAACACUGUUGCCAACUAAUCUCUGAUGGUCAGACAGCUCCUGGAAUGAUUGCAACGGUGGCUUUGCUGAAUGGCUGUCCUUAGUGCCCCGCUUUGCUGCCCCUUCUGGGGUACGUGUGUCCUCUAGCUGAGAGUUCUCCUUGCGCUUUGGCCAGUCAUGACCCUCAAUUCCAUUCAUUUGAAUUGGUUGGGAGUUUAUCAGCUUUGACACCUACUUCCAGUGUUGUAAUCUGCGGUUCCCCCAGGAGCUGCUGUUUCUGUUGGAGGGGGUCUGCAGAGCUGAAAAGUGGCAAGAGGCUGGCUGCAAACUGCCUCCAGGAGCAAACCGCCCCAGCGGAGCUCAGCGAAAGCCACAGCCAAGACUGGAGGUGGAAGAAGUGAAAGGUGAACGCUCUAGUUUGCAGCAUCCGUCACAGGUCCCAGCACAAGCCCCAGGAGAUAUGUUUCCUGGCACCGCAGGGGAUAGAAAAGCACACACUGCUCUCCUUUGAAGAGAGUUAGAGCUUGCUUCGGCUGACCAGAGAGCGGGCGUGCAGCCAGCUGGGAAGGGAGCUCGCUUUGGGACUGGGAGCAACAAUGGGAAAGGGGAGCCAGGCUGUGGGCUCUGGACAAUAGGCUCCUCAGCUGCAGUUUCACAU